rnacentral:lncRNA from 1 species
GGGAAUACUACUUUUAACACUCAACUUUCUUACUCUCCUUUCUUCUUUAACUUACUUUUCUUUGCUUGCAGGAAUACGAGAAAGAAAGUCACUGUAUCACCACUCAUCUCAAGUUGGUAGGUAGGGCUUGUGUGUGGUUGAGAAAGAAACUUUACUUGCCACAGGAGUGAGAAAGAUAGCCACACUAGUGAAUAGAGAGAGAGACUCAACUUGAAAAAGGCAGAUUUGAUUUUUAGGGAUAGGCUAGUUUCUUUGGAACCAUGUAGUAAUCCCUUUUGUUCACUCAUGGAUGGUUACGAAGCUACACGAAUUGUGUUCUUAAGGGUCCAAACUUUGGACCCAGAAAAUGCUUCCAAAAUCAUGGGUUUGCUUCUGCUUCAAGACCAUGGUGAAAAGGAAAUGAUNANAUUAGCAUUUGGUCCAGAAGCACUUGUUCACUCAGUGAUUGUUAAAGCCNGCAAGGAGUUAGGUUUACCUUUGAACUCUCCGCCAACACCCUCCACUCCUCCUUCUCCUUCACCCUUCCUUCCGAGGCAGAACUCUACUUCUUCAAGGCUCGGUGGUAUCAGCCUCCCUCCUACUCUCACCAUUCCAAACCCUUCUUCUACUUCUUCUUCAUGGCCUACUAUGUCUGAGCUUCAAACCCCUGAUAGUUUGAUGAGCCCCAACAAUUUGGUUGUUGGCUCUUCUACUUCUUCAUCCUCCUUAUCCUUUUAUGCAAAUGGAGGUUCAGAUCCGAUUGAUGACUUCCAACUUCAAGACCAGCUCUCUUUUCUGAAUGAUGGUUCUGCUCCUGCUCACAAAAACAACCCUGAUUUGUUUUACCCUUGUCACUCGGACUUGUCUUCAAGUCCUACUGCUGCUUCUGACCCUACUCUCUUUCCUUCCUUCGAUUGGGGAGGGUCUAUUCACCGCAGGAGUUGUUCUGUCAAUGAUGUUUGUUUGGGCUCUGAGGACUCCAAUUCCGGGUUGGGGUGGAAGCCUUGUCUUUACUUUGCUAGGGGAUACUGUAAAAAUGGCACUAGUUGCAGGUUCCUUCAUGGUGGACUUGGAGAUGCUGACGCUGCUGCUCCUGCUGCAAUGGUUGGGUCUCCUAGCAAGCUUGAGAUGAUGGAGCAGUGCCAUGAGCUUUUUAGAGCUAAGUCUUCACAACAGCAGAGACUGGCUGCUGCUUCUCAGUUCAUGGCCACUUCUACUUUUCCAUACAGCCCAAAGUGCAUGAAUUUGCUGUUGCAGCAGCAACAGAAUGAUACUCAAAGGUACGUGGUGCUUUCAUACCAUGCAAUCAUGUGUUUUGAUUAGUGCUGUCUUUGUAAUGGUUGAGGUGUAGGAUUCUAAUCAUGACUGAUAAUAAUUGCAGAGCUGCAGCUCUGAUGAUGAGUGAGGAUUUGCAUAAAUUUGGACGAUCCAGGCUUGAAAGAAAUGAUUUUUCUCUGAACAGUCCUGGAAUGGUAAACCCAGCUUCCAGGCAGAUCUACUUGACUUUCCCAGCAGAUAGCACUUUCAGAGAGGAAGAUGUUUCAAAUUACUUCAGGUUAUUGUUGUUUAGCUUUUGCUGGAGUUCCAAUGCAUGGUAUGACAAUGGCAGAAUUAUUAACUAAGUUUCUAAUUCUGUGGUUGAAGCAUUUAUGGCCCAGUCCAAGACGUGAGGAUCCCAUACCAGCAGAAGAGAAUGUUUGGCUUUGUUACCUUUGUUUACCCGGAGACUGUGAAGCUUAUUCUAUCUAAAGGAAAUCCUCAUUUUGUGUGUGAUGCUCGAGUGCUUGUUAAGCCUUACAAGGAGAAGGGCAAAGUCCCGGACAAGUACAGGCACCUCCUCUCUCUGCUCUUGUGUUAUCUUUCUCUUUCUGGUUAUCUUGAGCUUUUUUAAUGUGUUCAUGUUUCUUGUGACAUCCAGGAAGCAGCAGCAGGUAGAUAGAGGGGAUUUUUCACCAAGUGGUACUCCUACUGGACUAGAUGCUAGAGACCAAUUUGAUCUUCAACUUGGUAGGUUAAUGCUUUAGGUUAAACCUUCUUCUUUAUUAUCUUUUCAGAUUAUGUUGGUCAAACCUACUGUAUUUAACACUUUAUUGUCUUGUAUGUUUUCAGGAGGCAGAAUGUUCUACAAUACUCAAGACAUGCUGUGGAGGAGGAAGCUGGAGGAGGAAGCUGAUUUGCAGCAAGCUCUAGAGCUCCAAAGUAGGAGGCUAAUGGGCCUGCAGCUUCUUGACAUCAAGAAGCAUCACCAGCGUGCACUCUCCACCGGAAGUCCAAUUCCUUCCCCAGCACACUCUCUUAACAUGUUCAACCAAAAUCUUGUUCUUCCUUCUUUUCACAAUAUUUCCGAGGCCCCAAAGGGUAUAUCUCUCUUUUACAUUUGAAAUGCAGCUGAUUCCAGCUGCUUUUGAAUUGAACUCGGUGCAUUUUUUUGGAGUGUUAUGAAUUUAUUGAGAUUUGUGCUACUUGGUUCCAGAGAAUGGUUCAACUUCUGCUCCACCUAGUACUGCUUCAGUUUCUGCUGGUCUGCAAUCUGUCAACGUUUCUGUUGGCAAGGAAGUGGUGAUCAAUGGCGAGAAUGGAUUGAAUGAAGGCAAUGACAAGCAGAACUCUGGUCAUGAAGAUAUUGAUUUGCAAGAAUGGUAUAGAACUUGCUCUUAUCUAGAAUAGUUAGAGGGCACCAGAAUAGUAAACACCUUUUUGCACCAAACUCUUUUUCAGUCCAUGCCAAAAAACAUUGUGCAUUUAUUCAGGUUUUCCUAAUUUCCUGAUUUGAUGGUCCUAUUUUAAAUGGUUUAUGAAUAAAUACAGCUCGGAGCAUAAUCUCCCUGAUAGCCCUUUUGCUUCCCCAACAAAAGCUGCUGGAGACUUGAUGGUUUCCUUCUCUAAUGGAACUGUUGAGGCCAUUGACACAGAUGCCUCGGGUGCAUCUGUCAACUCCAAAUUUGGUACUAGUGCAUUGCUUCCACCAGCAUCUGCAAUUGACAUGGGGACUUUCAAAUCCUAUAACUGUCAAAUACCAAGGUAUUGUUGUCAUUACAUUCUUUUCCUGCUUUUCCCAUGGCAUGAGUUUUCAGUAUUCAUAAAUUUUUGAACUUUUUGUGAUAUGGGUUUGGAUUCAGGUUCCCUUCUGGCCAUGGAACUUUUGGGAUGUUCCCGGGCACGGGUGGCCCGAUUGGCAUUUAGUUUCCUGAGUUCAGGUAAAGGUAGUUUGGAAGUUUAUGUUGAUGAAGUUCUGUUGCACAUGUUGUCUUUAAGGUGGAUUGAUUUGUUGUUUAGUAUAUUAAAUUUGGAUGUCGGUUUGGUCUUUUUUUGUGCAAUAUUUACAGGAAGUGAAAGAUGACUAAACAAACCGGGACAAAUCAGUUGAAAACCACCAUCACCACCAUCCACCACCACCACCACCACCAUGACGGCCAUCACCAUCAAUCAUUAAUACUAUACUUGUUACAACCAUACAAAAUGCAUACGGAAAAAGCAGUUGAGUAAAGAAGGUGGGGCAGGCAUUCCCCCUUCUUUUGUUAUAUUAGCAUUAUAAUUCCACCAUUUUCUUUUUUAUCGUAUCUGUAGUAGUAGCUGAGUGAACCACAGGUUAAAAUAACACAGAAAGAAUCACCAAAGUCAAAUGUGUAAUAGGAACUCCCAAGCACUGUAAUUUCAUCUCCUAUCCUCGGUUAUGUAGUAGUGUAGAGUAUUAGUUCAAUGUUGUUACAGGUAUAAUUUCAAGUCUUUGUAUAGCUGGAGCAUUUCCCAGAGAAAAACAUGCACAGAUGAAGUGGUAAAAGCAAAAAGGCAGAACUUUAUAACUCCAAGGCUGAUUCAAACCCCCCCACUUGAAGGGUAACUUGAAUUUGAAAGCUAUAAGUGGGGAAAGGACUGUAAAAGUGUUAAUCUUAGCUGAUUAAAGUUCAAAGUGGAGAUUUUUAGCAUGGAGGUUAUGUUUAAUCAGUUAUGCUUGUACUUCUACUUAGUUGUUACACACAGUUAUCAAAGAAAGAAUUAGAAAGAAGAAUCAAAAGUUGAGAUUUUAGUCUAAUUGGUCUAUUUGUCUCUCCUCUUUGCUUUAUUUAUUUUGAAGGAGAAUUUGUCUCUUUGUUCUUGCAAUUAUUUUUGCCUUUCAAUUUGUAAAUUGGUGGGGUCUGUCUUUUUUUUUUGCCAUUAUUGGAGAGGAAAGAAGAGGGUCCAGAAUGCACAGCAUCACAUGGGAGUUGCUGACACUGCAAGUGGGCCACACAUAUUUAUAUAAUGCCAGGUUGUGUAUAGGUCCUACCCACCAGCACCUACCCAUGUGAGUGAUGCCACUUUUCUUUUUCAUCUACCCUUUAAUCUGCAAUAAUAAAAUAUGUACCCUUAAGUUUAUCUUUCAUCACUGGAAAGGACAUGCAUAGAUCUAAAAGUAGGGUAGAUGCCCCCACAUAUGACAAAACUCUCCAAUUACUCGAAUCUUUGGGACUCGGUUGCCUUAUGAAUGUUUGACUUAGCCUUGAUUUACUGUGAUUUCUUUGUAUUGCUCUCUUUCCAGUUUUCCAUAGCCUCCAAGUGUUUGUGAAAAAGCUCCGUCUUCAAAACUAGACUUACCUCCUGCACUACACAAGCAACAAUGUUGGUUGGUUUAUUACUUUAGUGCCUUUUUCUUUGAUCAAACCAAAGAUUAGGUUUUGCAUGUAACAUAUUGCCUACAACAGGUUUAAUGUGUUUGUAGUUUUGCUUAAAAAAAAUUAAAAUAUUGAUAUCACUCCACAAAUAAAGUAUCCUACGUGUUUGAGUCAAUGCCCAUCUAUCUCAUUGAUAUUUUUCAUAUUUUGCUAUCUCUUAACCAGCAGUUUUUAUGACACGUGAUUAUUAUUAUGCAUGGAAAUUAAUUGUGGUCUUUAAUUAUCAAAUACAUCAUCGUAUUUUUAAGUAUAAAUUAAUCUUCAGCAGAACCUUGCACUUUCAAUUGACAAAUGUGCAACUUAAAUUAUGGGAAUAAAGUAUGAAAACUUGUGUCGCCAGAACAAAAGACAAAAGCACAGAACACCUUGGUUCUAAAUUUUAACACUUUUUGAUUAAUAUUUCUAGUAAUUUGAUGUCUUGUUGGCAUUAUUUUGACCAACACUGUGUUGUUCUCGAGUAAGCUACAUUGACUAACAUGGAAGAACUAAAAUGUAGGAAACCAAGAUGAAGAGUGGAUUUCAGCUUUAUCAUAACUCAUUAAGUUUACUGAUAUAUGUAGGUUGUGGGUAGUUGUGUUAUUCCAAUGCUAGAAGAAUCUCUUGGUUAAGCAAUUCUGCUAGAUUGUUUCCACUAACACGAGUGCAUUGGGAUAAGUUGUGAUUUUCUAUUAGCAUGCAUUAUUAAGUAAAAGUUAUAUAGUUACGGCUUGUGUAGCAAGGUUCUUAAGGUCACCAAAACAGUCAUCAAUUGCUCCGAGGUUUAAGACAGUAACACCAAAAUACAAUGUUAGUAAAUAAUGUUAUUGUCAAAUCAGAAAAAAGAUAAAUAGGUCAGAAAAGUUAAUGGUUUUUGGACAGACUCCUUGUAGUGACUGCACCUGCAAUCAUCCCAACAUGCUUGGUUGAAUUGCAGAUUUGUCAUUAAAUGGCUUAAUACACAAUAAAUAUAAUGCCUACUUGCUACAUCUAAGUUGUUUCAAUUUACUACAACCAGUAAAAGUUGGGGGGAAACAACUCAAUUUAAAAUAGACAUUGUUUUCAAGUCUAGUUAAAGCUAGUUAAAAGUUUGACCCAUUAAAUGCAUGGUUAACAAAGAUAUCAGUGAUCAGAAAAGAGAGAAGAUUAAGCAUGCAUUUAAGUUAAAAUAUUAUUUAACAUUCCAUUUUUAUUUAAAGCAAUUUUAUAUUUUUAUUUAUCUUAGAAUUCAUUGAUUAAUUUAGUAAACAAAUAUAAACCAUCAAGAAUGAAUAUAAAAACUUGGAUCUGUGUAAGUAACAUAAUGUUGCAGAAUGCCCUUCAUCCUGUUUAUCAACUGUUUGGUUUUGAAAAAAAAAACGUGUAUGUUGACAACUAAAACAAAUUUUUCCAUUUGAUGGAGACAUUUAGAAUAUAUAUAUAUAAAAUUGAGGCUAAAGAACUAUAGUCAUAGGCAAACAGAACAUUACCUCAAUGGUGGUGACCCAUGACUAGUGAUUGUGGUUAGUAGUGAGUAGCUAACCCAUGUCUGGUUUGUUGUAAGUUGAAACAUUAUUAAAUGUGUAAUGGGAACUGAAAUGUACGUGUGAUAAAUAAGGCUGUGCUGUUUUGUUGUAAUCCCUUUAUGAUUAAGACAUGCUUGCAAAUGCCACAGUCUUAUACGUGCAUGUGGUUAUAUUUUAGUUGCAUAGGAUUCUUCAAACACUGUCAAUCAGGGAAAACGGAUGGUGACCCCUGCCACCAAUUUCGACUGCAUAAUCUCUGAGUUUUUUUAAAAACAGUUACUGUCUUAUUUUCUGCUAUUUCUUAGUUGGACUAACUCAAAGUAAUAGUUUAUUUAUCGAAGAUCAAUAUAAAUAAUUCUGAGGAAAAAUUCAUCAAAGUCACAUUUGUUAUCUGAUUAAUUAAAUCAACUGCUAACUAUACCCUUUUAAAAUUUGAGACAGAUUAAUGAUUUUUUUAACUAAAAGUUAAAAUAUAAUUUAUUUUUUUCAAAAUAGUAACAAGCAUCCUUUUCAAAAGGAUGAUUAAGUCAAAAAAAUUGUAGUUUGGUUUAUUAGUUUUAUUUAAAUGAGGAAUGGUGUUCACGUCCAUUAAAUAAUUGAAAUCACCAUUGUUGAACUGAAAAUAUAGAUUGAAGAAGAUUUUGAAAAUAGAAUAUUGAUGAAAGAAAAGUGAUUGAAAAGCACAUGAUAUUUAGAAGGAGGAAGAAAGUGUUGAAAAAAUAUGAAGAAAUUGGGAAGGUCAAAGCAAGGGUACAAUGUGCAUAACAUGAUAAUGUUGGCAUAUUAUUUUGCAAGAAUAUUGGUUGCACAUGUUAUGAAUGGAUUAGACUACUUCAAAUGCACAUGCACUCCAAGACACAAAAACUCACACAAUUCAAAGUUUAAGAUUAUAACAGAUGUACUAUGUUUGUAUACUGUUUAGAUAGGAUAAGAAACAUUUAUAGUGCAUUUUUUUAGCACAAGAAAAGCACCAAAAGUACAACAACAUUCGUGCAACAUUUUAUGGCAAAGAGAAAUACUUGUAGGAAUCAAACCAAAACUUCUGGAUAAGAAAGAGUUCGAUUCAAUAUAUUUAGUUAAUUAAUUUAUCUAAAAAUUUAAUUCUGACCAAUUAAAUUUAUAAGAAAUAAAUAUGUUUUUAUCUUUUUCAUUUAUAUUUUGAAAUUGAUAUUUGUUUUCUUUUCAAACUUUAAUAUUAUUAUCCUAAAUUUAAAAGUAAAUUAAUAUAAUAUCCUAAUUCAAUUGUUUUAAAAUUUGGUAAUGUGUUUAGACUAGUGUUUAACCUGUUUAUAUCAUUUAAUAUUUUUAUUCAAAUGUUACUUUGAAAUAUAUUUGAUUAAAAAAAAUUAACCUAAUUGAAUUAAGAUGAUUAUAUACAUUCGUUUUUUAAGUUUAGAUAUCAAAAUCUAUCAAACGAAUUUCAAUUUUAAUCUAAGUUUAGAAUCUCUAAACAUAUUUAAUCCUAAAUUUAAAAAUUCUAAUUUUUUAAGUAACCAUCUAUGAAAAACUAAAUAGUAUGAGAAUGGAGACUGACGAGAGUGUUGAUAUGAAAUUUUUAAGGCUACAAACAUAAUACUUGGAUUGGUGUAUCAACUUUGGAAAAAUAUAUGGACCUAAAAAACUCGUAAAUAAAAUAAAAGAAUUGUUAUAUAUUGUGAAAUUUUCUAAUUAGUAUUUUUUUUAAAGAAAUAUUAAACAUAUCAAUACAUAUUAAAAAAAAUUAAAAUUUGGUUUGAGUGAUCUACUGAGAUCUAAUCUCCUUUAGUUUAUUGCUUUGAAGAAGUGAAGGAGCAGGGAUAGAAUAGGAAAAUGAGUAUAAAAUUUGGAGGUGGAAAGUUGGAAAACCUUCACAAAUCACACUACUGGGUUCAAGUCAAUAGGCUCAACUUUUGGUCCAAUUAGUUUAUCUUUGUUCGUUUUAUGGGCCUUGUAUAUUUGAAGACAAUUUUGAAUAGUAUAUUUCUGUACAGAUUUAUUUUUUUUAAGAUAAAUGGAUGACAAUUUUUUUUGAUGAAGUCACUUAUCUAUUCUUUUUUUUGUGGCACAAUUGUGUGUGUUUGUGUGUAUUUUACCUUCUAUGUAGUAAUUGAAAAAUUAUAAAAAAUAAUAAAUAUAUUUUUAGUUUUUGAAUUUUUUUGAAAUUGAAAUUUGAUCUGUUUAAAAAUUUGAUAUAUCUUGGAUUCCAAACUUUAUAAAUGAAUUGAUAUAAUCCUUUUAACUCAAUUAUGUUGAAAUUUUUUGAUGUGUUAAAUACGUUUUAUGCUAACAUUUGAGUUGUUUAUAGUGUUUGAUACUUUCUCACUUCAACGUUAGUUGAAAAAUACAUUCGAUAAGUCAAAACUAUUUAAUAUAAUUGGAUUAUAAUAAAUAUAUUGGUUUAUUUUUAAAGUUUUAGGCGAAAAUAUAUUUCAACAAUUACAAAUCCUAAUUUUUUACCCCAUUUUUAACUUACCUUGUUAGAUUAUAAUUUAUAUGUAUAUGUCCUUUUUAUAAAGUCAUUAUUUUGCUAUGAUUUUCAAACAUGUGAUAAUUACAUAUUGAAACAUGUUAAAAGGUUUCAUUAUAUAGUUGGUGUUAUGAGCUUUUACAUUUUUGUUAACCUAAUCACAAUCCGAUCAUAUCUUAAUCAAUCGGUUGAUUUGUAGUUAUUAUUGGUUAAGUAUUAAUCUAACAUUUAUUCUUUAAUUGGUUGGUCUUGCCAAUUGACCAGGGCAGUUGGCCCACCAGUCAAUCAAGGCAUUCAAUCUGUCAGUCGGUCAAGGCGAUCGGUUCGCUGGUCGGUUGGCCUGCUAAUCAAUCGAUUUGGGUAGUCAACUUGCUAAUCAUUCGGGUCAGUCACCGAUUGAACCAUUAGUCAACCUGACUUAUUGACCAAAAAGAUAUGUAAAAUAUACUGGCCCUUAACUCUGAGUACAUGUAGCUAAAGGGACGAAGGGGUUUGAAAAUGAAAAAGUAUCUAGUACUCGUGUAUGUCAAAUGUUAUAAUCCGAUCGAAAGCGAUUCCUUGGUUGGAACUCGCCCUUACUCUAUGGAGUUUUCUAUAAGGGUUCAUUGGUUGGAACUCGUCCUUAUAGUAACAAAUUUUAGUUCGGUCGAGAAGGGUUCUUAAUGGAAACUAGUCCUUACUAAAUGGAGUUUUCAAGAGGGGUUUCUUGGUUGAAUGUUCUAUCUCAAUCGUGAGAGGAUGAGACCGAGAUGUUGCUAGCAAUUAUAAGCCGAGUGGUAGAGGUCAAUGGUCGAGGGUGAGUGGCAGUUGACUAGUUGAAGUCAAAUGGUUAAGGCAAAAAUCCAUAUGUAACGUUUCCUAUGAGCUUUUUACAUACGAUUUUUAUUCGUAAAUAAUCCAUAGGUAACACUACUUUACAUACGAAUAUUUGACCUUAAAUACAAAUUUUAGUUGUAGGUAUUAAUAUUUUUUCUUGUAGCCCAUUAAUAUUGAACAGUCGAUAAAAAAAACUUAAGGUCGAAAGACUGAAGUCGAAUGAUUGAGGUUGAAUGGUCGAACCGAAUGUCAAAAUUGAAAAGUCAAUUAAGAAAUCAUAGAUAAAAAGAUUGAGAUCGAAUUGGUAAUCCCAAAUAUAAAGACUGAAAAGUCGAUAAAGAAAUCAAAAUCAAGAAAUUGAGACGAAAUUAUUGAGACUAAAUGCUCGAACAAAAAGUCAAAAUUAAAAAAAUAUAUUAAAAGAUUAAUUAUUUUAAAAUCUAAAAAUAUAAUUGUUUUAUAAUAUUUUUAGAAACAUAAAUUUUAUUUAUAUAUUCGAGUUUUUCCAAUUAUACCUUUUAACUCUACUUGAUAUUUUUUAACCCAUCGAUAAAUACUUUUUAAAAUAUCUUCAAUAUGAUAAAUUAUAACUUAUCGGUGGGGCAAGUGUAAAUUAAAAAAUUAUUAACUAUCAGCUAAUUUUGAUAAACACAUUCUAAUAAUAUCUAAAUUUCAGAGGAGAAUAGUAGAGUUGAGUAUUGAGGAGAACAUCAAAUAUAGAAUGAGUGGUUGAGAAAUUGCCAGCAUGUGAUCUCAGUAUAUCUCAUAUUUAUAGUUACCUAUGUAUAACGGUAAAUAAAUAAUAAUCAUUUAAUUUCCAUCCAACAAAAUCAUGAUAUUACCUUUUAAAUAACAUAAGAUCAAGAGAGCUGACGAUUAAAAGAAGCAACGGUAUUAUUUGUUGUGUCAUUCACUGACUAUUAGACUAACGUUAAGUAUCUAAUUAAAUGCCUCAGAUCAAAUUAAAGUUCAUAAUUAUGGAUUAUAAGUUAUAAGUUAUUUUUUAUUUUAUUUUAUAACUUAUUUACAAAAUUUAAUUAUUAUCAUGUAUAUUCUAAGAUACAUUUUUUAUUAUCUUUAUUUUCUCUUACAUAUUACUACAUAUGUUAAUUUUAUACACGCAAUCAAUUACUACAUUGUUUUUAGUAUUUAUUAGAUUACUAUUUAUUUUUAAUGUAAAUCAAAUUAAAAUAUCACAUUACACAUUAAAAUAACCAAUAUUUAAUUUCAUAUAUACGAAAAUAUAAAAUAUGCCGCAUAAGAAAACAAUAUACUACAUCGGUUUAUUUCUUUUAUUGCUUUAAAAUCUCGUUUUCUUGUUUUUAAGUGCUUUUUGCAAUUUUUUUCUGUCUCUUCUUGCCUAAGUACUAUGGAUGAAUGUCAUUCGUGGAACAACUCCGAGAUAAUGUUGUGUAGUUUGUUUUGUGUUGGAAUUUUUAUUAAAGUUGCAUGAUUUUUUUUUUAUUCUACAAAUUAUAUAAAUAUAUAUUGGUAUUUAAAAACUAAAAAAAUUAUUUAAUUUGUUACGACUAUAAUCAAUUUAUUUAUUUUAUACUGAAAAUUUUAUAUCAACUAGAAAUGAAAGAUAAAAUUAAUUUAUAAUAUAUAAGUUAGUGAAAUCUCACCUUAUAAAUUAAUUUAAUUUUGUAAACAUGAUAUUAUAACGUUAAGAACUACAAAGUGAUAUAGAUAAUCAAAUUCUACUAUUAUCAUUGACUACAAUACUGUAUAUUUAUUUAUUUUAACAACCUCUACUUCUAAGAAAAGAAAAAGAAAGAAAACAUUUUUCCAAAUUACAGGAUUUAAAAAUAAUUAAAAGAAUUUAAAACUUAAAUUAAAGAAAUUAAAAACAUAUUUAAACGACUUUUGAAACAUUAAAUGGUAAUUGUUUUGAAUGUGAAACAACAAGAAAGAAAGACAUACUGUUAUUGAAAUUUGUCUGGUAAUUGAAGAUUACUCUUGUUCAGUCAUCGGUAGAGUCGUUAAAAUGGGUCACAGUUUACGAGUCAAUUCAACUUACUACGGGUUCGAGUUGGGUUGGGUUUGAAAAAAUUGAAUUCUUUUAUUCGGAUCAGAUUUCAAUCCGGCUCAUUUAAACCUGGUUCAUGUGAGUUGAACCUGUGGUGGACCGCGUUGGCCAGUCAACCCACCUAUCUAAUUUUAUUUUUUUAAUUUAUCAUUUUAUUGUGAAAUCCUAAAAAAUAAAAUCUUCUCUUCACUUAGUGUGUAUAACAAAAAAUAACCUAUGCUCUCACAAAUCACUUUCAUGGAACUUGUUCUCCUUUACCGUGCUGUCACUCUCAAUUCUUCACUGAAAUUCUUCAAGGAGUAGGUUUUUUGUGUUUGUUUUUGGAUGACAUUUGGAUUAUAUUGUACUUUUUAUUAUUAUUUUGAAUUGUCUUCCGUUUAACAUCAUUGGGAGUGAAAUUUAUUUAAAUUUGAAUAUAGAAAAUUUGAAUUUUUUUUUAUUUAAAAAGAAACUUAAUUAAAUGGACCAGUGAGUCAAUCCGUUUAUUUACCAACCCAUGGUAGGUCGAGUCAGGUUCAGAUUUUUCUAGCUCAUUGAUAAAUGAGUCGGAUUAAAUUGACUCACUAAAUGACCAAUUCAUAAUGGAUCAGACCGAAUCGAGUCAGAUUAUCCGUCUUGCUCUAGUAAUCAGUAAUACAAGUUGGGAAGUGAUUUGAAUUACACGAGUAAUCAUGAAAAGAUGUUGAUCUAACCUUUUCAAAGUAUAAAAGAAUGCACUUUUAAUCGUUAAGCAUUACUAAAUAUACUGAGAAAUAUAAGUCAGAUUUGAAAGAAAAAAAAAAAAAACAGGUGGAGAGAGACAUUGUGUCAUAAUUUUAUUUGUUUGUGGGGGCAUGAGAAAAACGACAAGUGAGAAAGGAAGAUGCAGCUAUCAUAUCUUUAUACAAAUCUCCCACAUAAAGAAAAUAAAAAAUAAAAAAAUCUAUACACAAAUCCCUUAUAUCUUUUGUGAUUUUGUAGCUCCAAAAGAACAACCUCUCUCUUUCUCUUACACAAUAACACAUUAUAUUAUCAUGUAAUCAUCACAACAACAAUCAUAAAUAAAUUACAUAUACUUUCGAUAAUUGUAAAUGGACCCCUCACUACAAAGAGAGCAGCUGCAUCACUAACUUGUGGGACACCACCUACCAAAUAACAAAUAAUCUAUGUGUAUAUAUAUAUAAUCAAACAUAAUUUAAAUACGAACCUAUGUUUUACAUUAUAUAUAAAAAAAACAUUCUUAAUGUUUUAGGUUGAUUUCUCUUAAUGUUUUAUGGUUUUUCAUGGUUCAAAUUAUGUUGUUCGUAUUUUAUCAUUCAAAGUCGUGUAAAAGAUAUUUGUUAAAAAGAUAUUUCCAUACUUAAAUCAAUAAUUUUAUUUAAUAAUUCUAUAAUAAAGAUAAGUAAAUCAAAAUUAAUUAACUGACUUUCUCUACUUAUAUUUAUAAACAUUAGGUUUAAUUGCUUCUUUUGUCUCCAGUUUGGUUGGAGUGUGUCAAAUUCGUCUUUCUUUUAGAAAAAUGUCAAUUUCGUUUUCAUAUAGAAAAAAUUUGUCUCAAUUAAGUCAUUUCGGUUAAAUACAAACUAAUGGUAUUAAAAACUUAAAGUGAGUUUUGAAUAAUAACCAUUUCAUGGAUCCGAUCCUUGAUAUUGCAGUAGAUAAAGUAAGUUUUGAAAACAAUGAUUUUUAGCAGAAAUGAUUUGAUUGACACAUUUUUUCUGUAUAGAAACGAAAUUGAUAUUUUUCUAAAAAAGGACGAAUUUGACACACUUUAACCAAAGUGGGAACAAAAGAAGCAAUUAAACCUGAAUAUUAUUAUGUUUUUUUACCCAUUAGUAAUUAAUAAAUAAUUUUCAUUAUUUUUAUUAAUUUUUAAUAAUAACUAUUAUUUUUAAUAACUAUUUAUUAAUAAUUAUUAUUGUUUAAAUUAAUUAUCAAUUAAUAAUUGUUUCAUGAUAUUGAUUGACGUAGUAAUUAUUCAACACACUUAAUAAACCCAUCAUUUAUAUAUAAUAGAUUAAAAAUAUAUUGAAAAAUAAUUUGUUAUAAGUUAAAUAUUGAUAUGUUUAAAAUGGAGUGAAGAUGGUAUAUAAUAAAUUAGAAUUAAUUAAUAGAAUUAAUAGAAGAAGAGAGAGAAAGAACAGAAGAUAGUGUUUGAUUGGGGUGGCAUUGACUCCUCCCAAGGUAAAGACAUGAUGAGGCAAUGAAAGCAGAAGCUGCGGGCGUGUUCUUCACUCUCGAGUCGAGAGAGGGUCCCAGAGAGGUUAUGUGAGAUGGUGUUGGAGCGUGAGAACCAAAUUCUGAGAGAGGAACUGAGUGAGCAAUGAUAAGUAAAACAAAGCAAAGCAAAGGGUGUUGACUGUUGAGUUUUGCUGUGCUGUGCUGUGCUCGGGAAAGCAAUGAAAGCUCAGAAAUUGAAAGUAAAUACUAAAUACUGAAUACUGAAUACACUACACACAAUAGGAGAGAGAGAAAGGAGUGUCAGAGGUUAGAGGCAAGUGGGAUCUGGAUCCGCUCAAAGAAGCACACACCAUAACAGAAGGGACACUGCCACCACACGCACACGUUCUUCUAAAGGGAGCUUCAUAGUGAGUGAGAGAGUGUGAGAGUGUGAGUGUGAGAGAUGGUUGAGGUGAGUUGAGAGAGAAAGAAGGUUAAAAUGAGAAUGAUAAGUUCAGUUCUCAACAUAACAUAGUGUUUUUUGCCCAGAACCCCAUAAAAACACAUAAGGAGAACUUGGGCAAUUCGUGUUUCUUCUGUGCUGCUUCUAUCUGCAACUAUGUUAUAAAUAAGGCGGUGGUUUGGCUUUUCUAGUAACUUUGACUACCAUUGUGUUUGAGGUUGAGGCACUGACCAAACCAAAACCAAAGACAGAAACUUUAUCUUUCUUUCAUUCAUGGGUAAGGCCCAAACCUUCUCCUCAGAUUAGGAUUUCAAAUUUAAUUUGGAAAUUUUAGAAGGAACUUAAUAAGUAGGAGGGAGAAAAAGAAAGAAGGAAAAGGAAAAGAGUUAUUUGUUGUUGUUUGUAAGUUUCUCCUUUUGUUGUUUCUGCAACUUUUGCACUCAUUACUUCUUUAUAGAGAAAUUCAACCACCAUGUUAUGUCUCUCUCCCUUUUCUUUAUUUUCUCUCAUUCCUUUAAUCAAAGGUAACUCUUGGCUUGGCACCCUCUUCCCUUAGUUUUCUCCCAUUAAUCCCAUCACACGGGAAUACUCCUUUUAACACCACUUUUUACUCCUCCUUCUCCUUUUCUUCUUUCACUUACUUUUCUUCUCCUGUUUUGCUUUGCUUGCAGGAAUAUGAGAAAGAAACUCACUGUGCCACUGCUCAUCCCAAGUUGGUAGGUAGGGCUUGUGUGGUUGAGAAAGAAACUUUUCUUGUACCAGGAGUGAGGAGUGAGAAAGAUGACAACUAGAGAAUAGAGAGAGAGAGACAAAGAGAGAGAUUACACACACAUAACUUGAAGAAACAAAUUUGAAUUUUAGGGAUAGACUAGUUUGCUGUGGAGCUGAAGUUCCAAUCUCUUUGUUGAAUCAUGGAUGGUUACGAAGCUACAAGAAUUGUGUUUGCUAGGAUCCAAAACCUGGACCCUGAAAAUGCAUCCAAAAUCAUGGGUGUACUUCUUCUUCAGGACCAUGGUGAGAAGGAAAUGAUUAGAUUAGCAUUUGGCCCAGAAGCACUUGUUCACUCUGUGAUUCUCAAAGCACGCAAGGAGUUAGGUUUACCUUCGAACUCUCCGCCAACGCCCUCUACUCCUCCUUCUCCUUCGCCCUUCCUUUCGAGGCAAAGCUCCACUUCUUCCAGGCUUGGUGGUAUCAACCUACCUCCUGCUCUCACCAUUCCAAACCCUUCUUCCACUUCAUCUUCUUGGCCUACUAUGUCUGAGCUUCAAACCCCAGAUGGUUUGAUGAGUCCCAACCAUUUGGUUGUUGGCUCUUCUACUUCUUCAUCUUCCUUACCCUUUUAUGUCAACGGAGGCUCAGAUCCAAUUGAUGACUUUCAACUUCAGGAUCAGCUGUCUUUCCUUAAUGAUGGUUCUCCCACUAGUACUGCUCUUGCUCACAAGAGCAACCCAGAUUUGUUUUACCCAACUCACUCGGACAUGUCCUCAAGUCCUACUGGUGUUGCUGACCCUGCUCUCUUUCCUUCCUACGGUUGGGGAGGGUCCCUUCAUCGAAGGAGUUGCUCGGUCAAUGAUGCUUGUUUGGGUUCUGAGGACCCGAACUCCGGGUUGGGGUGGAAGCCUUGUCUUUACUUUGCUAGAGGGUACUGUAAGAAUGGGACAAGUUGCAGGUUCCUUCAUAGUGGACUUGGAGAUGCAGAUGGUGCUGCUGCAAUGGUAGGGUCUCCAAGCAAGAUUGAGAUGAUGGAGCAGUGCCAUGAGCUCUUCAGAUCCAAAUCUUCUCAGCAGCACAGAUUGGCUGCUGCUUCUCAGCUCAUGGGCUCUCCAACUUUUCCAUACUCGCCUAAGUGCAUGAAUUUGCUGUUGCAGCAGCAACAGAACGAUACUCAAAGG